AUGGUAUUAAUCUUCCUUUCGUCCUUUUGAUCAUUUCCUUGCGAAAUUUUGAGUCUGUAGCAAGUAAUUUGCCAUGAUGCUGUUGCGAAUUUGAAUAAACAUCAACACUCAAACACUCUCAAAUUGAAUUUGCUCGGACUUGCUUUAUUCCUAUUCACUUUCCUUCUGUACUAAUGAUGUUGGGAUGGUAUUGUUGUUUAAAGAUAAAAUAUAGAAGCAUGUUGAAGUGUGGGAUUUGUUCAUGUCACUUACUUUAUUUUCUUUUUUCUUAUAUGCCUCUACUAAUUAGUCCUCCCCAUUACUUGGAUUUCAUUAAAAGUUAAUAUUGGUUGAAUUUGCUCAUGGUGGUUGAUUAGGGAUUUGGCUUUGAAAAAAAAAAGGAUAGUCUCAUAUGGUUUGGUGUUAAAUUUCUUGUUAUAGUUUCAUGGUUAAUAACUCCCUGUAACUAAAAAAUUCUCAUAAAAUUGUAAAAUUUAAGUUUGAAAGCUUGCCAUCUCUCUUGUUAAUAUCCUCACACCCUCAUGUACACCUGUAUUUUAGUCACUAAGUUAGUAUAGGAGUUGCUUGUUUUGUUCUUGUGUGUUCCCAGUGAGUUUUACAUGAUUCCCCUGGCAACAAAUGGAGGGCAACUAGUAAAGGAUGCAGUUCGUUAAUUAUCCUCGUUUGGUGAAAAUUUCAAACUAAAGACCUCGAUAUUUAUAAACAUGGGUCGCGUUUUUUUCCCCCUUAUGAAUGAACAACUAGAAGAGAUUAGCUAAUUGUUAAUUAUGUUCUAAAACCUUUAAACUAGAAAUCUUCUGGAUUAUGGUAUUCUCAUCGGUCUUUUGGGUUUGAGAGUUUGAUACAAGAAAAAUAAGAGGAACACGAAACAGCCACAAAACAGUCCAAUACAUCCUCCAAAACAGUCCACAAAUCACAACAAAUCGUGGACCAAAUGGAGACCUCACUCGGAUUCGACAAAUACAACAAGAAUACAAGAAACAAAGGUGUAUUUGACACCCAAAACAGCCACAAAUCGUGAAGAACAAGAUGACAACAAGAACACAAAUUUUCGGAUUCAACAAGACAAAAAAACGGCACUACAAACAAUAACAAGAUUACAAGAAUAAAAGGAUAGAUAGUGAGAUAUAGAUUUGUUACAAGAUUUAAGAACAAAGUGUGAUUCAAAUACUAAACCCCUAAUUAAUGUAACAACAACGCCACUCUUACGGUGACUGCCAAGGGAAUCACUCACCUUAAGAUCCACCGUUUCCAAGCAAAGAACAAUAUUGGCUUUUCCAAGCCUUAUACUAAGGAUGCCCUAACUAAGAACUAUACUAAGGUGUUGCACUCUCCAAAGAGAGAAUAAGUCUUUCAAAUGUUCAUUAUUCAUUAACUCAAGAGAUAUGACCUAAAAUAGACUAUAUAUAGUAUAUUACAAAAGAAAGAUAAAAUGACUCCAAUGCCCUUAAUGAGGUGGGUGGCAAUGGAGUGUCAUUUAGACAAGGCUAAAGAACAAAAUGACCUUGAGGCUAAGUGACCAAAAUGACCUUAAUAAAAGGGGCCAAAACCGUGAACCAUCAAAUGUGCUCCAAACCCGUGAAUUCUAUAAUCUUCAAGGCUCCAAGCAAUUUUCCACACACGGGUUUGUUUGAUGGUAUGCUCAAAAUAACCCCUACAAGUAUGAUCGUAUGCCCUCCAUGGGACCAAAGCUUGAUUCUUCAUGUAGUGACUUUGAAUGAUGCCAUCGAAAGUUAAGGCGUCCAUUUCACUUGUAUCAUCCUCCCCUUCUUGAAAAGGAUUCGACCUCGAAUCCGUACCUUGCAAAACAAGAGAAAGGACAAACAAGCACCACAUCCUUAUGGAAUGAGGGUUAGGGUUACCACAAUUAUAAACAUCAUCACGCCAAUGGGGUACAUACUUGAAGUAUAACCAAGAAUCCUUUGAAGUGAGUAUUAAAAACUCAAUGAAAGAUGUACAAAGGAUUUGGUUAUGAGAUACACCAAGAGUACUUUGCUUGCCAUGUAGACAAAGCAACAAGUUGGGUGCACCAACAUCACCCUUUCUACAUUUGGCACCGGGGUCAAAUGGGAAAAGUGGCCAUAGACACGGGUCUAGACAACACUCCCCUUUCUGUGGUCUACACCCAAACUAAAUGACAUACUCUCUAUAAUAGCAUACAUAUCAUCCAAAGCAAAUAGAGAGUAGAGAAAGGUAUCACUCAAAUCGACUUCUACCAAGGUGCCUUCAUGUGUGUACUCCCUACUAGUUUCCCAAUAAUAACCAUGAGUACUCUCAACAAUAAAGUCACACAAAGUAAAAGAAGAAGUAGCUUCCGCAACUACACCUAAGAGUACUCUCUUCUUCCAAGAAGAGAUUUCCAUCUUUAGGAGUAAUGUUGUCACACCAAAGUGGGUUAGCAUAUAGGCUAUAGCUUCCAAGGCAAGCUAUACCAUCAUUUUUCACCACUAGCUUUAUUAGAAGUGUUUAGAUCAUCUUCAAAUAAGAUAUUACACCUAAAGAGAGUGUGAUCUACCUCACAGACAGAUUUGGAAUAAGCAAGUUCCUCACACUCUAAAUGAUUAAUAUCAAGUUUCAAGGAUGUUCCAAACACAAGAUUACCCCAAUAAGAGAUCUCGGGUUCACUCCCACUUUGUUGACCAACAUUUUCAAAUACUUCACUCACUUGAGUUCUAUUAAGUACAUCACACACAUACUUAAGUGGGGGACAAUUUUCACAAACAAGUUGAUCAACACCAAUUACAUAAGACGAUGUACUUCCGUUCAACGUAUAUGCUUCAACACUAGGUGGACAUAUAUUGAUCUUACAAGAAGAUUCAAUUUCGUCAUCAAUAGGAUUAACUAGUGUAUCCAAACUCACAAUAUGUACAUCAUCAACAAGAGACAAGGAAUCAUUAGACUUAUAAAUAAGCAAGCUACUACUUACACUCAAUGGCUUACUAGCUACACAAUUCUCAUUCACAUGCACUAAAGUGUAAGAGUUAGCUAUUUUACCUUUAAGAUCUUGAGUAGACUCUUCCUUGCCAUGAGGUGAAGGUCCUCUACAAGCUUGGGCAGCAACGUUCUUUUGGCAUUGUUCGUCUUCGCUUGCUAUGUUGGUACCUACACAAAUGUCCUUAGAAUUGGAAGGACAACCAAUGUUAGCACGGUUUGGUGGCAAUCCCCUCACUUCGCUCCACAUAUCCUCUCUUUUUUCCACUCUCGAAUUACCACCUUGCACUCCCUUACUCCUCUCAAUCUUUUGUCUCUCAUCAUAAAUCAGAUUGGAGUAGGUAAGCAUGUCCCUUUGCAGUUUGGGUAGCAAGUAUGUUAUGAGGCGAUUUCCCCAUUGGUCUCUUAUAACAUUAGGCCAAUUUUGCAUAUUAGGAACUUGAUGUCGCGCAAACCAAUUGGCACCCAAGCUCAUAUGACCAUAGGUUAAGGAAAAAACAUCGCACCACACCUCCUUAUGAUAAUCAAAUUGGGAGAAGACAACUUUUACCCUCUCGGUAACCUUGAACUCGCCCAAGUAGUAUGGAACAAGUAAAGGCUCUCGAAAUAACCCCAAGUAGUCAACCAUGGACGGAAGAAUGUAGUUUCCAUAGUACCUAUCAUUCAACACCAUAAGGCAGCCUGGUAUCCCACAAAUAGUCACCUUUUGGGAGUGUACACUCCUCCUUGGAUCAACAUUGUAAGGCAUACGAGUACCCAUCGAUUUUGAAGAUGCUUACCUUCUUCUUCUUAUGGGACAACCUCUACUAUAGCUAGUAUAACCAAUCAUACUAUGUCGACCUUGAUAAGAAGUACUACAAGGUAAAGAAUAUGAUCUUUCACACUCUACACGCGUACUCUCAUCAUAGCUCUCAUAAGCUUUACGAAUGAAGGGUUAUACCUAACACCAAAUGUAGGUUCAAAGUGGGAAGUAUAAGACUCUUCACAUGCCCCAACUUCAUCAUAAGAACCAUCAAGAGGUCCUACAUCAUCUCCAAAUUCACCAUAAGCACUAGGCACAUCAUUCCCUCAUUUUCUCCCCUAAACCCGAGACCCUCAAAUCUGCCUAAGUUUUGAUCAUAGCUAUUUUCAUAUCCCCCACAAUCUCCCUCAAAUUCGUAGCCAUAAAACCCCUCACUACAAUCAUAGUCUCCCAUGUUGUAGUCACAAUAAUCCCCGGAUAUCGAAGACAUAUUCCCCUUAUAUCACCUUUGUACCUACAGAAUGAACAAACAAGAUUAGUAGUAAAGCUUCUCACUAACACUCGUAUACACUCACCUUUGUGAUUCUCACAAUUGGAGCAGCGAAUAUUGAAAGUUGCUUAUACUCCGGUAGUCAAUAGAAUGCCAAUUCUACUUAGCGGUCGGAAUAGAUUCUUGUUUGAUCGACUCAAGACACAAAAAUAAAAUUUACUUACGAACUUGAAACAAAGAAGUUAGUACGAGUUAAAAAUGAGAAAAAGCACACAAAUAACGAAGACACGAAAGGAACGGAUUCAACAAUUAAUCUACAACUAAGUAGCUUAUUACUAGUUGUUAAUUAAUUCUAGAAUCAAGACAGGAAACUAAGGAAACAAUAAAGUGAAACUAAUAAUCUAAAAUUUGAGCCAAAGAUGCAUGAACUGUAACUUGAUGACGUGAACGCCACGUAUUGGUUGCGGUUUCUACAAUUUUUAUUUUCCAAAGCCCAAGUCUUGACCAAUUUUAAUUUGGAUGGGUGAAAUUUGUUUUAAGGAGGGAAGAAUAAGUCUUGAGCCUUUUUUUUUUUAAGUUUCAAAUUUUAAGACUUGACUUUUGUAGUACUUUUCCUAAAAACAUGAACACUUGUUUUUUUGGAAAAGUGAUUGAGAUGUGAUUGACUUGUUGGUGAGUGAUGGUAAGUCUUUUAAGACUAACAAAGUUCUCACACUUUUUUCUUCACCUUUUUGGAUCUAGCUUUCACUUUAUUUUAACAAGGUAUGACGGUUUGGAAGAACAUCAAGAACACUUCAACAAUCUCCCAAGAACAACAACAAUUCUGCAACAAAAAGGUCAACUACAAACUUCCAACAAACGGCCAAGUCCUUUAGUGUGGUGUUUUGGUCUUAACAAGGGGUGAAGAUUAGGAUGAACAAUAAGAACACAAGAACUUUUCAAGAACAAUAACAACACCAAAAACGUCCAGCCCAAGUCCACAAGAAAGGUCACCACACGGCCAAGAACAACAACAUCAAUACACGGCCAAUAACUUGUUCACAACAACCAUCUCAACAAUUCAAGCUCAAUUUUAGAUCUAGACUCAAGAGUGUUAGAGAAGAAGAAAGCUAACACUAGAAACAAGAAAUCAAACAAAAGAACACCUAGAUCUAGACUCAACUUUUCAGCCAAGACAACAAGAAGAAGAAUCCAACUUCUCGGCCAAGGACACAAUGUUUUUUUUUGUAUUUUUCAACUACCAAACCCAAGAUUGGUCUUGCAGGAACAAGAUCAAGUCAUGCUUUGAUAAUAAAUGAUACAAGACAAACAAGAGGAACACGAAAUAGCCAUAAAACAGUCCAAUACACCCUCCAAAACAGUCCACAAAUCACAACAAAUCGUGGAUCAAAUGGAGACCUCACUCAGAUUCGACAAAUACAACAAGAAUACAAGAAACAAAGGUGUAUUUGACACCCAAAACAACCACAAAUCAUGAAGAACAAGAUGACAACAAGAAUACAAAUUUUUGAAUUCAACAAGACACAAAAACAAUCCACUACAAACAAUAACAAGAUUACAAGAAUAAAAUGAUAGAUAGUGAGAUAUAGAUUUGUUACAAGACUUAGGAAAAAAGUGUGAUUCAAACACUAAACCCCUAAUUAAUGUAACAACAACAUCACACUCUUACGGUGACCGCCAAGGGAAUCACUUACCUCAAGAUCCACCGUUUCCAAGCAAAAAACAAUAUUGGCUUUUCCAAGCCCUAUACUAAGGAUGACUUUUCCAAGCCCUAACUAAGAACUAUACUAAGGUGUUGCACUCUCCAAAGAGAGAAUAAGUCUUUCAAAUGUUCAUCAUUCAUUAACUAAAGAGAAAUGACCUAAAAUAGACUAUACAUAGUACAUUACAAAAGAAGAUAAAAUGACUCCAAUGCCCUUAAUGAGGUAGGUGGCAAUGGAGUGUCAUUUAGACAAGGCUAAAGGACCAAAAUAACCUUGAGGCUAAGUGACCAAAAUGACUUUAAUAAAAAUGGUCAAAACCGUGAAAUCAAAUGUGGUCCAAACCCAUGAGUCCUCUAGUCUUCAAGGCUCCAAGCAAUCUUCCACACACGGGUUUGUUUGAUGGAAUGCUCAAAAUAACCCCUACAAGUAUGAUCCCGUGCCCUCCAUGGGACCAAAGCUUGAUUCUUCAUGUAGUGACUUUGAAUGAUGCCAUCGAAAGCUAAGGCGGCCAUUUCACUUGUAUCAGAGUUUAAGUAUCAUUAAUAUUUGCCUAUUCUAUAGAAACUAUGUUUUAAGUAAUCAUCACUAAAUAUGUAAAAUCUAAUAUUCACAUCAAAUUUGCUAUGAUGGAAUUAGUUAGGAGAACAUAUAUAUUUACUGAAUACAUAUAUAUUUACUGAAUACGGUCAGUUUGUAAUGAGGGAUGUUAUGUUAUUUUAGUAUAAUGUGAGUGGUUUGCUUAAAACCUCUCGUUUCGGGGGCCAUUAUCGGAUUAUUCUCUCUGUAGUGGUCAUUUAUGUUAUAUUAUUUCAUCCCGACGUCGAAUAAUGUUUGUUUAGGUUACUAAUCCUUGUCCUUUUAUUUUACAUGUGAACUUGGAAG
rnacentral:lncRNA from 1 species